rnacentral:rRNA from 1 species
AUGGCGACCGGCGUACGGGUGAGUAACGCGUAUCCAACCUGCCCUUUACUAUGGGACAGCCCGUCGAAAGGCGGAUUAAUACCGUAUGUUGUCAUGUUGAUGCAUAUGUUCAUGACCAAAGGCUUCGGCCGGUAAAGGAUGGGGAUGCGUCUGAUUAGCUUGCCGGCGGGGUAACGGCCCACCGGGGCGACGAUCAGUAGGGGUUCUGAGAGGAAGGUCCCCCACAUUGGAACUGAGACACGGUCCAAACUCCUACGGAAGGCAGCAG